GCUCUGACCUUUUCCCUCCCUUCCCCCCUCUUUUAUCCAGGUUCUCACAGUUUCCCUGAGGAAGAAAUGGAGGCAGCAGGAAAGGACGAAGGAGUCCCCCAUUUCCAACCUCAGAGACCCCACACCUGCCCUGGAAGCUGCCUUCUCUCGUGGUCCCCCACGGGUGUGGGGCAGAGAGGCCAGGCCGGUGCUGGACAGUCUGGCUGCCUCUGUCCCUCUCCCUGCCCAUCUGGGCCUGGCGCGGAUGCGCUGCUUGUGUCCUUGCUAUAAACAGCUGCCCGCCUGGCACAGAGGACUUCUGCUGGCCCCCGCCCCAGGCCUGCGGGGCUGUUUACUCCGCCGCCCCCUCCCCCAUGGCACAAGGCAGAGCGCUCACUUAGAUUAAUUAAUCUGCUGCCCGGCCUGCUCCUCCGGCCCAUCUUUUAUUCAUGGACAAGCGGCAUUCUCUGCUUUACCAGGACGCGGGCAUCAAUAUUUCAUCCUUGCUUCGCCUGCCAGCGUCCGCUCCCUCCUCCCUACUUCUCACCGGCUCUAGGACCCGGAGAGCUGGGCCAUGCUGGCCUGACCCAGGGCGUCAUCACAGAUGUCUACGCUGCCUUCAGCUUGCCUGCCGUGCCAUCGUGGACUCCAGAGUCUGCACAAGAAGCCCUUCUGAACCAGGUGUCGUUGGUUUUUUUCCACUCCCAGGCCUAGGCAGGUGGAUGAAGGAAGCAGCACGGCUGUUCAGGAGCACACAUCCCUCUGGCCAGCCCCCAGCCCGUCUCAUCUUGUCCACUUGAGGUCACAGAGGAAUGCGCUGCGCUCUGCCCGGGGGUUCCUGGCAGAGUGUGGAGCCGGGAUGGAAGCAGUCACUCUCAGGAGGCCUUUGGGCAGACUGUGGUCCUUUCUCAGGCCGGUGGCCAGCUCUGCAUUUCUGGGUUGGGACUGGGGUUGAGGACGCCUGCUGAGACCUAUGCCCUGGGAAAACGUCAGCCUGUGUUGAGAAACUGAUCUUCAGUCACGCAUUUAUUCCAUAUUCAGAAAAGGGACACUCAUCCCAGGUCUGCGUGGCGUCUGGUGGACUGGCCCGGGACACCGGGCAGUGGCUGGCCGGCGCUUCCUCCUGGUCCCUCUUCUGCACCCUGGCUCUCUGGCUCUGGCACCUUCACCUCUAGCUCGGUGACUUUGCUGCCUGCUUCCUUCAGUCCCUUCUGGACCUGCCUUCUCACUGGCAUGGCUGAAGAUGGG